rnacentral:lncRNA from 1 species
UCAAAGGUUUAAUUGAUAGGUAUUGAGAUUUUAAUAUACCUUAGAGUUGAUUUGAAUUAGUUAGAUUUUGGCUAGGAUUUGGUUCAAGGUUUAGAGUUUGUUUAGGAUUUAAGAUUUGUUUAAGAUUUAGUUUAGAAUUUAAGAUUUAUCUAAUAUUUUCUUUAAGAUUUAGGAUUUGUCUAAGAUUUGGUUUAGGAUUUAAGAUUUAAUUAAUAAUUAGGAUUU